rnacentral:rRNA from 1 species
GAAGUGGGGAUGACGUCAAGUCCUCAUGGCCCUUAUGACCAGGGCUACACACGUGCUACAAUGGCCGGUACAAAGAGUUGCGAUACCGCGAGGUGGAGCUAAUCUCAUAAAGCCGGUCUCAGUUCGGAUUGGAGUCUGCAACUCGACUCCAUGAAGUUGGAAUCGCUAGUAAUCGCGGAUCAGCAUGCCACGGUGAAUACGUUCCCGGGCCUU